rnacentral:lncRNA from 8 species
GUCCUUGGUGACGCUUCGAAAGAAAAGGCCAUAUGAACAACCAUGAACCACCAUGCAGGCACCCUGCUCACUACACCCUGCUCACUACACCCUGCUCACUACAACCUGCUCACUACAACCUGCUCACUACAACCUGCUCACUACAACCUGCUCACUACAACCUGCUCACUACAACCUGCUCACUACAACCUGCUCACUACACCCUGCUCACUACACCCUGCUCACUACACCCUGCUCACUACAACCUGCUCACUACACCCUGCUCACUACAACCUGCUCACUACAACCUGCUCACUACACCCUGCUCACUACAACCUGCUCACUACAACCUGCUCACUACACCCUGCUCACUACACCCUGCUCACUACAACCUGCUCACUACACCCUGCUCACUACAACCUGCUCACUACACCCUGCUCACUACACCCUGCUCACUACACCCUGCUCACUACACCCUGCUCACUACACCCUGCUCACUACAACCUGCUCACUACACCCUGCUCACUACAACCUGCUCACUACAACCUGCUCACUACAACCUGCUCACUACAACCUGCUCACUACACCCUGCUCACUACAACCUGCUCACUACAACCUGCUCACUACAACCUGCUCACUACAACCUGCUCACUACACCCUGCUCACUACAACCUGCUCACUACACCCUGCUCACUACAACCUGCUCACUACAACCUGCUCACUACAACCUGCUCACUACAACCUGCUCACUACAACCUGUUCACUACACCCUGCUCACUACAACCUGCUCACUACACCCUGCUCACUACACCCUGCUCACUACAACCUGCUCACUACAACCUGCUCACUACAACCUGCUCACUACACCCUGCUCACUACAACCUGCUCACUACAACCUGCUCACUACAACCUGCUCACUACAACCUGCUCACUACACCCUGCUCACUACACCCUGCUCACUACAACCUGCUCACUACAACCUGCUCACUACAACCUGCUCACUACAACCUGCUCACUACACCCUGCUCACUACAACCUGCUCACUACAACCUGCUCACUACAACCUGCUCACUACACCCUGCUCACUACAACCUGCUCACUACAACCUGCUCACUACAACGGGCACAACAGAACGGCCCAACUGCUUUUUUCCUGCGUAAUAACUACAAUAACCGUAACUGAAUAAGGUUAUUGAUCGGCCACAAAUUUGAACAGUAACUGUGUUUUUCCUGAUU